UGAGUUAGCCCACCCCAACAUCCACCUUGUCUAUGAACUGCUGGAGCAUAUGCAGGGGCUGGACCUGCAGAUCCAGAGCUGCAGGAUCUCCACGACACAAGGCAAUAACAGGAUAUCCACAAGGAGUUCCCAUGAGGGCCCUGUAUCAAGGGUGCAGCAGAAGACAGAGGCCUUGAAUCAGACCAAAGACUCAUUGCAGUGAACACUUGCAAAUUCUCCCUGACUACAGUGUUGGAGCAUAUGGAAACCUGCCGCUUACCCAUGCUGGAAACACAUCCAAAGGAAGGCUUAUAAACUUAAUGUCCUUUAAUCCCAGCACCUGGGAAGCAGGGGACAAUGUUUCCUGGCAUAACCCUGAUUGUCCUGUAGACUGCCUGGCCCCUAUAGACCAGGCUGGCCUCGACCUUAGAGAUCUACCUGCCUUUGCUUCCUGAGAGCUGGUAUUGAAUGUGUGUAUCACCAUAUCUGACUGUGAACAAGUAUUUUUUUUAAUAGAAGAAACUGAGAAUUUAUUCUUG